GGGGCCAUAGCUCAGUUGGUAGAGCGCGUCGUUCGCAAUGACGAGGUCAGGGGUUCGACUCCCCUUGGCUCCACCA
rnacentral:tRNA from 5 species